UCUCUGGAGGACCAAUGGUUAGGCCACAGCGCUCUCACGACUGUGGCCCGGGUUUGAUUCUCAGCCAGGGAA
rnacentral:tRNA from 1 species